AGCCAAUGCCUGAAAUAAUGAACUCCUCCAAGGCAAGAAAUCUGUUUUGAAGCUUCUCUGCGUUCACACACAGCAGCCUGGUUUCCUGGAAGGGCAUUUUCCACAUUGUGCGUUAUGGAUGAUCAUCCCAGGCAUCAGGUGUGAAGCCCUGCAUCCACAUCCAGGGGCUAUCAAAUCUCUCUGCAAAAGGAGAAGCUGGACUCAGGCACGUUUACAGUGAUGUGUAUGCAGUUCUGUGAAGGAAGCUGCAGAAGAAAAAGGUGAAAGAGGUGAGGAAGCUGCAGAAGAAAACCUGGAAGUUAGCAGAGCUUGAUCCAGAGGUUUAAGGAAAGAAGCCAUCUCCAUAACAUAAAAGUGCAAGGUGAAGCAGCAAGUGCUGAUGGGGAAGCUGCAGCAAGUCAUCCAGAAGAUCUUGCUAAGGGUAUGCACAGAUGUGGAAACAGGAACUGAUGUGUCCAUUACACCACUAGGACAGAGGCCAGAACAAUGAAGAAACCAAAUACUUGGAAGAGGGUAGAGAUAAUGAAUGGAGUCCAAGAGCCCUGAUUGUGCCAUAAAUGUCCAGAUAAUUCCAUACCUGAGGAUUAUGUGGUUUGUAAACUUGGCACUUAGAAGAACCAAUAAAAUCAUGUUAUAGUUUCAA
rnacentral:lncRNA from 10 species